UAUAACACAGAGAAGACAAGUAGUGAUUCCAUAGCAUCUUACUAGGCUGAUGGACAGUGACUGUAAUGGGGUAUGUGGUGGGGACUUGAUAAUAGGGGGACUAUAGUUACCAUAAUGUUGUUUAUGUUAUUGUACAUUAAUGAUAGCAAAUAUAUAUAUUCAGAAUUGCAGAAUCAUUGAAUAAGUACACGUGCCAUUUGUUGUUUGCUUCAGUAACAUAUCUAGGAGAAGAGAACCUUGGUCUAAGGAUCAAAACACUGAGUUUCUGUUUUAUACUAAGUGAUUCUUAGUCAUGACAACUUAAAAGUGUUUCCUCUUAUGAAAUAAAUCAGAAAUGCUCACAACAUUCUUAAAGGCAAAGUAAAUGAAUAAAGUGAUGACCUGCUGGCAUAGAGACCUGAAUAUCCAAAACCUUUCAGUAAUUCAGUAAACCUUAACCAGAUAUUCAUCAUAAAUAACUAUAUUUUCUUGCUAGGUACAAUGGAGGAUAUAAUAGAAAUAGGAUAGUAUAGUUUUUUUACCCUUCAGGUGCUUAAAUUUCUUUGAGGAAAAUGAACUGACACAUUAAAUAAUUAGAGAAGAUUUCAAAAUAGAAAAUAAAUGUCAAAACGUGAAAUCAGAAUUGGGGCUGAAAGAGAUCAAGGUGGAGAAAAAUACUAUAUGCUAGAAAGAUCACUAGAGGUCACAGAGGAGGCACAAUUUAGGGUGACUCGAAGUAUUGCUCAGAAUAGUAUAUGAGCUGAAAGGAGGUGGUUUUCUAAGUAAGAACAUGAUAGUAAAUUUUCAGAGAAAAAGGAGAAAGUAACUUAGUUCAGUAAGAUGGAAACAAACCUGAUCAGAACAGUCAGUCAAUGUCAGUGGACUAUGAUAUUUGGCUGAAUAUGAGAGGGAAAAAACUAGAUACAAGUGGCAGACUUCCAAUCUCUUCCCUGAUCACUAUGCCCUUCUAGAGAAGGGAGAACUUUAGAAAUAUUAGAUGGGUUUAGAGAAGAGUUAUUAUAGUAAAUGUAACUGGAUGUUAGUAACUUUAUGUAAAACGAGAUACCAGCUUCUGUCCUCUCUUCAUCUAUUAAAAGUUAAAUGUUUCCUUUCAAGGGUUGCAUAAUAGAGGGCAGUCUAUUAGGUGAAUCAGUUCCAGGAAUUGGUAUUGGCAAACAGGAACAGCUCUCCCUUCCCUCAGGGACUGCGGAGCCCAGCCAGGACUUCCAGUCCAUCUAAGUCAGUAAAAUACAUGCUAACAGGUCAUGAGUUGGAUACUGUCUGUUUAUACAUCUGAGGGAAUGAAAUGAAAUUAACUGGGCUUUUACUACAAACCAAACUCUGCUAAACACAGAAAUAACAAACAUGACCUAAUUAAUAAUCUGAACCUGUGGAAUAAACAGAUGAUCAAAUCACAACCGAGAGAGGCCAAGUACUAUGUGCCAGAGUUACGGCAGCUGGUUGGUGGCAGAGCUGUCUUCCAGUUCAGGUAACAAUAAAGAAAGGGGAAAGAAUGUCAAGAAGAUUUGGAUGAUGUGAUAAGCCAAAGGCCUACCCAUUCAAAUAGUCUGCCCAAAGUUCAAAGGACAACACUGCCAAGGAAGGAUCUUCAAAUAUAUUUCCCCACUUAUUAAGUUGGGCCACGUGUGCCAGAAAGCAAAUUACAAGUUUUCAGAUUGUGCUAUUUAUGUCCAACUUUUACACCUAGUGGCAUAAGCAGAGUUCACACGUUAAACAGAGAACCUGUAUAGUUCAUUCUUAUUCCUAUCUCUAACUUCAGACUGACUCUAUGUGACGUAGGCCAAAAUUUGAUGAUGUUCUUUCCUUUGGAUAAAUAUUUUAAAUUAUUUUUAAAAAGAAGACUAUAGAAGAACAAAAAUAAUGGAAAGUUCAUAGGGUGAAAGAUAAUUUUAAAUGAUUAUUCUCAAAAUUCAAAUCCCAAAUUUGCAAAUGCCCACAUAUAUACUAAAUGACUGAAUCAUGAAACCAUUUUAUGCUUGCCAAUUCAAGUCAAAAUAAAAAGAGAUUGGAAAUUAUCUGUUCCUAUUUCCUGAUCAAUACAGCAAACAUUCAGCAUAAUCAACCCUUUUCUAAAACACCUAGAAUAACAGGGCAAUCAAUGCCUCCCAGAAUAAGCAAGUUGAUUAUAAGUGAACAAUUCUAGUUCACUGGAAAAGUAUUUCAUUUGUUUUGUCAGAACCUUUUAAAUUCUUUCUCUUCUACAGGACAGACUUUUAAAUACACAAAGGCAAUAACUGUAUCUGCAUGUACUCUUUGUUCUGCAGGGUAAAACAGUUCUGGUCCAUACUUAGAUAUAUAAAAUUAUUUACAUACCAUCAAAUCACAAAAUUAUGUAUUAUAUUCUAGAUAUGAUCUGCCCAGGACAGAAACUAUUAGUUUAUGCAAUCUGGAUGCUAUAAUUAAUGUAGUCUAAAAUGACAUGAGCAUUUUUAAAGUAGCUUCAUGACAGUAUUAAAUGUGAACUCAAAUUUCCGUGUACAUACUACCUAACAAGUAAAAUCUUUUUCAUCCUGUAUAGUGUUUA